GACGAACGCUGGCGGCGUGCUUAACACAUGCAAGUCGAACGAGACGAUUGAAAGCUUGCUUUUGAAAGUCGAGUGGCAAACGGGUGAGUAACGCGUAGACAACCUGCCUUUGAGAUGGGGACAACAGUCCGAAAGGACUGCUAAUACCGAAUGUUGUGGAACUUCCGCAUGGAGGUUCCACCAAAGGAUGACCUCUUCCUGAAAGUUAUCGCUCAAAGAUGGGUCUGCGUCUGAUUAGCUAGUUGGUGGGGCAACGGCCUACCAAGGCGACGAUCAGUAGCCGGUCUGAGAGGAUGAACGGCCACAUUGGAACUGAGACACGGUCCAGAC
rnacentral:rRNA from 1 species